UGUAAAUGAAAGCAAUACUAAGCUAACCCUGUAAGAUUUUAAGUGGAAAAUAGUCACAGAUCAAUAAGUCUAACAUAUUAACAUAAUUUGUACCAUAUACAAUAGAGUGUGUGUGUGUGUGUGUGUGUGUGCGUGUGUGUGCGUGUGUAUGUGUCUGCUUCACUGCCUCAAGCUUCUCUCAUAGUACAA
rnacentral:sRNA from 1 species